rnacentral:rRNA from 1 species
GACGAACGCUGGCGGCGUGCUUAACACAUGCAAGUCGAACGGAAAGGCCCUGCUUUUGUGGGGUUCUCGAGUGGCGAACGGGUGAGUAACACGUGAGUAACCUGCCCUUGACUUUGGGGUAACUUCAGGAAACUGGGGCUAAUACCGGAUAGGAGCUCCUGCUGCAUUGUGGGGGUUGGAAAGUUUCGGCGGUUGGGGAUGGACUCGCGGCUUAUCAGCUUGUUGGUGGGGUAGUGGCUUACCAAGGCUUUGACGGGUAGCCGGCCUGAGAGGGUGCCCGGGCUCAUUGGUACUAAGGUACGGAGCAGACGCCUACGGGAGGCAGCAGUGGGGAAUAUUGCACAAUGGGCGGAAGCCUGAGGCGGCAACGCCGCGUGCGUGAUGACGGCCUUCGGGUUGAAAACCGCUUUCGCCUGUGACGAAGCGUGAGUGACGGUAAUGGGUAAAGAAGCACCGGCUAACUACGUG